UACCAGCACCCCGAGUGGUCGGGACGAUUAUUUGGCCUAAAGCAUCCGUAGCCGGUCAUGCAAGUCCUCCGUUAAAUCCAGCCGCUCAACGGUUGGGCUGCGGAGGAUACUACGUGGCUAGGAGGCGGGAGAGGCAAGCGGUACUCAGUGGGUAGGGGUAAAAUCCUUUGAUCCAUUGAAGACCACCAGUGGCGAAGGCGGCUUGCCAGAACGCGCUCGACGGUGAGGGAUGAAAGCUGGGGGAGCAAACCGG
rnacentral:rRNA from 1 species